GGCAUCUUCCUGGCCGUCUGCAGAGGGCAUCUUGGGAAGAAGCAUCCCAUGUUGUACACAGCAAAGCCAUUCCCAGGCUUUCCUGGCCUGUAGUAGGAAGAUGCUGAAGAAGCUCUGAGAAAGCUGAUGGGAGAGCUGCAGCACAGAACCUGUUGCCUGUCCGGAAUAAAGGCAUCAUGUAUGUUGCAUAUAAGGGCAACAUGAGCUUAGGCAGAAGUGAGGAGCGUGGGGAGCCGUGUCAGGAGCGGCUGCUGGAGAUCCGCUCGUCCGGACGAGGCGGCGCUGGAGCCGCCCUGGGCCACGCGGAGAAGGGUCUUCCCCUGGGCUGCUCCUUGCGUCCGUAUGCCUCUUACCCUGCUCAUCUGAGAGCCAAGAACAACCCACAUCUCCGCCUAACCUGUAAUUUUGUCUUUUCCUUAUGUGUCRCUUAGGUAAAAGAGAAUACUUUAGUUAAUCCGUCUAUUACAAARCUAUUAAUGUCACUAGCUCUUAUAGUUGUGCUCAGAUGGGCRAAAUGUCUCCCAUUUCUGAAUAUCUGUGUUACUACUGAUACCUUUCCCUAAUCCACUUUGUACAGCUGCACCAAAUUACUGCUUUUUUUCCCCCCUCYGAUAUGUAUACUUUAUGCUUAAAAAUGCUCUUGAAAUAUCACAGAGAGCUCUGUG